GGUCUCGUAGCUCAGUUGGUUAGAGCGUUGGUCUUAUGAGCCGAAGGUAGGUCGUGAGUUCGAGCCUCACCAAGACCA